CAGUAGCCGCGGUAAUGCGGAGGGUGCAAGCGUUAAUCGGAAUUACUGGGCGUAAAGCGUGCGUAGGCGGUUCGUUAAGUCUGUUGUGAAAGCCCCGGGCUCAACCUGGGAAUGGCAAUGGAUACUGGCGAGCUAGAGUGUGUCAGAGGAUGGUGGAAUUCCCGGUGUAGCGGUGAAAUGCGUAGAGAUCGGGAGGAACAUCAGUGGCGAAGGCGGCCAUCUGGGACAACACUGACGCUGAGGCACGAAAGCGUGGGGAGCAAACAGGAUUAGAUACCCCCGUAGUCCCUGUCUCUUAUAC
rnacentral:rRNA from 1 species